CUAAGUUUUUAUGGUCAAUGAUUACAACGAUACCAUAUACAGCAACAUAAACUGUUCAGGUGAAGAGUUAAUUGUGAAAUCAGCUAUGUAAGAGAUGGGAAG